UGACAGAAAAACGAUAACUGUUGUCAAAUUGUAAAAUACGUUAAAUACGUUGAAUAUAACAGAAAGUGGUCUCUUCCACUUCGAACUAUCAACCAGUGAACAAGUGUUCUUCUUUACAAGUGAUUCGAAGUCUCCCAACCUUUUCCACGUGAUUGCGUACUCAAUUCCGCCUUGCUCAACUGUGAUUCAUCUUUAAAUCAUAAAAGUGGCGACGAGGAUAACUUCUGCAAAGGACCUUACAGUGCAGUGUGGUGAUAUUGCAUUUAAUUGCAUCUUCCGCUGGAUUGCUGGAAACGGAGAAAACUUUUCUGCGACGCUAAUGGUAGUGAAUUAUACCCGCUGUAUUCAUUGCUAUUCGGGAGGCGAAAGGCAGAAAAUUUCGGCGAUACUAGUACCGGACGAUUAUUGGAUUCACGUUGAUGCUGAAAAACAGUGCAAUAUUACGACACUGUGAGUGUGACGUACGUCGUUAGCUGAAUUUGAAGGUUCGGCACCGGGUCCCAGAGGAAUCACUGCCGGUACUUUUUCGACGCUGGUGAGUGGAAGCGAAAACGGUGUACUCAGUCCGGAAGGAUCGGGUAUAGGAACAAUUUCCAAAAGCCGAGGUCUGUGGAUUGGAGACGACGGGGAGAUCAGUCCACUUCCGAUCCUCGUUUUUGUGAUUUUUGUAGGAUGAAAGGUCAUCUGAAAAGGAAAUGCUACAAAUUGAAAAAUAUGCGCAAGGAUUCCGUACAACUGUUGGAGCAGAUGAAGCCUGGAACCUCAGGAACUAAUGUACCAGAUGUAUCAGAGCUGUUGAACAGGAUGAGGACGCAAGAUUCGGAAGAGAGCGACGAUUCUGAUU